UGGACAGAUUACUGUAUUCGACUAUAUUCACGGCGUGAAACAGGGGAUUACACUGUUUUUAAACGGAAAGUGUAUCAAUUAACAUAAUAGACUCCU
rnacentral:pre_miRNA from 1 species